rnacentral:rRNA from 1 species
UCUUGGUCAUUUAGAGGAAGUAAAAGUCGUAACAAGGUCUCCGUUGGUGAACCAGCGGAGGGAUCAUUACCGAGUUUACAACUCCCAAACCCCUGUGAACUAUACCUUUACGUUGCCUCGGCGGCGUCCGCUUCGGCGGCCCGCCAGAGGACCCAAACUCUUGUAUUUGAAUUGAGUAUUCUCUGAGUGAUACAAGCAAUAAAUUAAAACUUUCAACAACGGAUCUCUUGGUUCUGGCAUCGAUGAAGAACGCAGCGAAAUGCGAUAAGUAAUGUGAAUUGCAGAAUUCAGUGAAUCAUCGAAUCUUUGAACGCACAUUGCGCCCGCCAGUAUUCUGGCGGGCAUGCCUGUUCGAGCGUCAUUUCAACCCUCAAGCCCCCGGGCUUGGUGUUGGAGAUCGGCAACUGCCCCUUGCGGGUGCGCCGUCUCCCAAAUCUAGUGGCGGUCUCGCUGUAGCUUCCUCUGCGUAGUAAUUCACCUCGCUCUGGAACGCAGCGCGGCCACGCCGUUAAACCCCCCACUUCUGAAGGUUGACCUCGGAUCAGGUAGGACUACCCGCUGAACUUAAGCAUAUCAAUAAGCGGAGGA